CCGCUCGCCGGAAGACCAAGGGUUCCUGUCCAACGUUAAUCGGGGCAGGGUGAGUCGACCCCUAAGGCGAGGCCGAAAGGCGUAGUCGAUGGGAAACGGGUUAAUAUUCCCGUACUUGGUGUUACUGCGAAGGGGGGACGGAGAAGGCUAUGUUGGCCGGGCGACGGUUGUCCCGGUUUAAGCGUGUAGGUGUGUGUUCCAGGUAAAUCCGGUUCACUUUAACACUGAGGCGUGAUGACGAGGCACUACGGUGCUGAAGCAACAAAUGCCCUGCUUCCAGGAAAAGCCUCUAAGCAUCAGGUAACAUCAAAUCGUACCCCAAACCGACACAGGUGGUCAGGUAGAGAAUACCAAGGCGCUUGAGAGAACUCGGGUGAAGGAACUAGGCAAAAUGGUGCCGUAACUUCGGGAGAAGGCACGCUGACACGUAGGUGAAGUGAUUUACUCAUGGAGCUGAAGUCAGUCGAAGAUACCAGCUGGCUGCAACUGUUUAUUAAAAACACAGCACUGUGCAAACACGAAAGUGGACGUAUACGGUGUGACGCCUGCCCGGUGCCGGAAGGUUAAUUGAUGGGGUCAGCGCAAGCGAAGCUCCUGAUCGAAGCCCCGGUAAACGGCGGCCGUAACUAUAACGGUCCUAAGGUAGCGAAAUUCCUUGUCGGGUAAGUUCCGACCUGCACGAAUGGCGUAAUGAUGGCCAGGCUGUCUCCACCCGAGACUCAGUGAAAUUGAACUCGCUGUGAAGAUGCAGUGUACCCGCGGCAAGACGGAAAGACCCCGUGAACCUUUACUAUAGCUUGACACUGAACAUUGAGCCUUGAUGUGUAGGAUAGGUGGGAGGCUUUGAAGUGUGGACGCCAGUCUGCAUGGAGCCGGCCUUGAAAUACCACCCUUUAAUGUUUGAUGUUCUAACGUGGACCCGUGAUCCGGGUUGCGGACAGUGUCUGGUGGGUAGUUUGACUGGGGCGGUCUCCUCCUAAAGAGUAACGGAGGAGCACGAAGGUUGGCUAAUCCUGGUCGGACAUCAGGAGGUUAGUGCAAUGGCAUAAGCCAGCUUGACUGCGAGCGUGACGGCGCGAGCAGGUGCGAAAGCAGGUCAUAGUGAUCCGGUGGUUCUGAAUGGAAGGGCCAUCGCUCAACGGAUAAAAGGUACUCCGGGGAUAACAGGCUGAUACCGCCCAAGAGUUCAUAUCGACGGCGGUGUUUGGCACCUCGAUGUCGGCUCAUCACAUCCUGGGGCUGAAGUAGGUCCCAAGGGUAUGGCUGUUCGCCAUUUAAAGUGGUACGCGAGCUGGGUUUAGAACGUCGUGAGACAGUUCGGUCCCUAUCUGCCGUGGGCGCUGGAGAACUGAGGGGGGCUGCUCCUAGUACGAGAGGACCGGAGUGGACGCAUCACUGGUGUUCGGGUUGUCAUGCCAAUGGCACUGCCCGGUAGCUAAAUGCGGAAGAGAUAAGUGCUGAAAGCAUCUAAGCACGAAACUUGCCCCGAGAUGAGUUCUCCCUGAGACUUUAGGUCUCCUGAAGGAACGUUGAAGACGACGACGUUGAUAGGCCGGGUGUGUAAGCGCAGCGAUGCGUUGAGCUAACCGGUACUAAUGAACCGUGAGGCUUAACCUU
rnacentral:rRNA from 1 species